rnacentral:rRNA from 1 species
UACGUAGGGUGCAAGCGUUGUCCGGAAUUAUUGGGCGUAAAGAGCUCGUAGGCGGUUUGUCGCGUCGGCUGUGAAAACUCGGGGCUCAACCCCGGGCCUGCAGCCGAUACGGGCAGGCUAGAAUUCGGUAGGGGAGACUGGAACUCCUGGUGUAGCGGUGAAAUGCGCAGAUAUCAGGAGGAACACCGAUGGCAAAGGCAGGUCUCUGGGCCACUACUGACGCUGAGAAGCGAAAGCAUGGGGAGCGAACAGG